AAAUCGGCCCUUUUCAGGGCCAACAAAUUUUAACGAAUGAACGCUCU
rfam:Dufourea novaeangliae contig2676, whole genome shotgun sequence.